AUUGAACGCUGGCGGCAGGCCUAACACAUGCAAGUCGAGCGGAGCGGCGGACGGGGGAGUAAUGCCAAGGAAUCUGCCUGGUAGUGGGGGAUGACGUCCGGAAACGGGCGCUAAUACCGCAUACUAUCAGAUGAGCCUAGGUCGGAUGAGCUAGUGGGUGGGGUAAAGGCAUACCAGGGCGACGAUCCGUAACUGGUCUGAGAGGAUGAUCAGUAACACUGGAACUGAGACACGGUCCAGACUCCUACGGGAGGCAGCAGUGGGGAAUAUUGGACAAUGGGCGAAAGCCUGCUCCAGCCAUGCCGCGGGUGUGAAGAAGGUCUUCGGAUUGUAAAGCACUUUAAGUUGGGAGGCGUUACCAACAGAAUAAGCACCGGCUAACUUCGUGCCAGCAGCCGCGGUAAUAC
rnacentral:rRNA from 1 species